GCCGGCGACCGGGUAAGUAAAAAAAAAACGGAGGGCAUACUAUUACGCCCGGCGGCGUUUAGAGCCGCCUAAAAUAGGGCGUAAUAGUACGCCCUCCGGUCUUAAGGGGUUAAAUGUAAAACAUUUUGUAGAAACAUUGAAGGGUUCCUGACAGCCACUAGAGGUGCUUCUGCCUCCAGAAUCAAGUCAAAAUCGGUCCUGCAAAGCAGCAUUUGAUUGGAGGAGUAUGCGUAUCUUGGCUCCAAUGCUUCUUUAUGAGAAGGAUUGGUCAAGAUCUCGGAAGACAUCAGGAGAAAUGUGGCCAAAGACAGAGGUGGAAC